rnacentral:rRNA from 1 species
GAUGAACGCUGGCGGCGUGCUUAACACAUGCAAGUCGAACGAAGUCAUUCGGACGGAAGUUUUCGGACGGAAGGAAGAAUGACUGAGUGGCGGACGGGUGAGUAACGCGUGGGUAACCUGCCUCAUACAGGGGGAUAACAGUUAGAAAUGACUGCUAAUACCGCAUAAGCCUACGGUGUCGCAUGACACAGUAGGAAAAGCUCCGGCAGUAUGAGAUGGACCCGCGUCUGAUUAGCUAGUUGGUGAGGUAGCGGCCCACCAAGGCGACGAUCAGUAGCCGACCUGAGAGGGUGAGCGGCCACAUUGGGACUGAGACACGGCCCAAACUCCUACGGGAGGCAGCAGUGGGGAAUAUUGCACAAUGGGCGAAAGCCUGAUGCAGCGACGCCGCGUGAAGGAAGAAGUAUUUCGGUAUGUAACUUCUAUCAGCAGGGAAGAAAUUGACGGUACCUGACUAAGAAGCCCCGGCUAACUACGUGCCAGCCGCCGCAGUAAUAC